rnacentral:tRNA from 1 species
GGACAGAUGGCCGAGUGGUUUAAGGCGCACGCCUGGAGAGCGUGUAUACCUCAAAAGGGUAUCGAGGGUUCGAAUCCCUCUCUGUCCG